GGCACAACUGAUAACUCUCUAAACCAAAGAUCUUUACUGUAUUAUUCAAUAUAGUGAAUACUUAUUGAGUAAUGGAAGUGUGUUAAGGUCAAAAUGGAGUCAACUUUUAAAUGUGCUGAUGUAAGAUGAAGUACAGUUAGACCUUUUCUCUUUUUUGCUGUUCACGCCAUCUCUUCACUUGGCUCAGAAAGAAGUGGUUUGAAUGAUAUGUUUUCAGAUCAUGUGGCAAAAAGUUAUGGGAAAAGGAGAAUCUGGUUAAGGCAUGAGAGCAUUUCUAGAAGAGUGUUCAAGAGUUUUGCCUUUCCGUUCUCCUCAAACUUAUCUGAGUGGAAGGUUUCCAGUAUUCUGUAGAGCAGCGGUCCUCAGCCUUUUCGGCACCAGGGCUCGGCUUUGUAGAAGACAAUGUUUCCAUGGACCAGGGGAGGGGGAGUUUAUUAGGAUGAUUCAAGUGCAUUACAUUAAUUGUAUACUUUAUUUCUGUUAUUAUUACAUCAGCUCCAGCUCAGAUCAUCAGGCAUUAGAUCCCUGAGUUUGGGGACCCCUACUAUAGAGUGAAUAUGAUGGGGAUAGUCAUCAGAAUGCUAGGAUUUAAGAUCUGUCUUUGCUGUUUGCCAUUUCUUUGAUGUGGAGGAAGCUUCUAAGCCUACUUGAUCCUCAGUUUUCCUCAUUUGGCUGUUGGAGAUGUUGAGGGUAGGAUAGGGACACUCACUUUCUUCCCUGCAGUUUCCCAUGGAGGCACAGAGGAUAUCUGCUGGACUCCCCAGGAGAGAACAGCAUCUGAGACUUGAUCACGCCUUUGCGUAUGCCAAGCCUCCUUCCUUGUGAGCGUGAGGAACUCCGCCCAUGGCAAGCAUCAUUUUCAGUAACAAUUUUCCAAACACUGAAAAAGUUUUCUACAGGUGGGUGAAACUGGGGAAAGUCUGCUCCCCACAUUUAGGUUCUGUUACUAAAAAAGACCCCAGGACACACAAGGCUGUUGUAUCCAGACCUCAGUUCUGUCUGUUUCAGCUAUACUGAAAGACACUGGGUGGAAAAGUGACAGCAGGCAUUCCCUGACUAUCUUCAGCUCAGGGGAGAGGGACAAAAAUUGUAGUUUUUACAUCAGGUUGAAACUGAAUUUGCCAAUUUUUAAUAACUUUAGUAAAGCAGAUGCCUUGAUUCCUAUUUGGAACCUGGGAACCUUGUUGUGAGUAGGAAGUGAGUUAACAGAUGUGAAAACACACAGAUAGUACUUGGCACAGAAAGGAAUACUCUUUAGGUGCUAGCUAUAAUGAUUAUGUUUUGUGCUUAGUUGCUCGGUCGUGUAUGACUCUUUGUGACCCCAUGGAUUAUAACCUGCCAGGCUCCUCUGGCCAUGGAAUUAUCUAGGCAAGAAUACUGGAAUGGGUAGCCAUUCCCUUCUUCAGGGGAUUUUCCCAACCCAGGAACUGAACCUGGGUUUCUUGUAUUGCAGACAGAUUCUUUACCUUCUGAGCCACCAGAGAGCACAUUAUAUAUUAAUGAUGAUGACGUAGCAUUUAGGGUCUUUAUGUGACUCCAUUGGGUGCAGUUCCUUAUUUGCCAUGUUCUCUUGU
ensembl:lncRNA